GACGAACGCUGGCGGCGUGCCUAAUACAUGCAAGUCGAACGCAGUGGGGACGGGUGAGUAACACGUGGUUAACCUCCCAUCAGAGGGGAUAACACUUGGCAACAGGUGCUAAACCGAUACUGAUGGAUGAACCCGCGGUGCAUUAGCUAGUUGGUGAGGUAACGGCUCACCAAGGCCACGAUGCAUAGCGGACCUGAGAGGGUGAUCGGCCACACUGGAACUGAGACACGGCCCAGACUCCUACGGGAGGCAGCAGUAGGGAAUCUUCGGCAAUGGACGAAAGCCGGACCGAGCAACGCCGCGUGAGUGAAGAAGGUGUUCGGAUCGUAAAACGCUGGUGUUAGAGAAGCGGUAUCUAACCAGAAAGCCACGGCUAACUACGUGCCAGCAGCCGCGGUAAUUC
rnacentral:rRNA from 1 species